UACGUAGGGUGCGAGCGUUGCCCGGAUUUAUUGGGCGUAAAGGGCGCGUAGGCGGCUACGCACGUCCGUUGUGAAAUCGCUCGGCUCAACUGGGCGGGGUCAGCGGAUACGGCGUAGCUGGAGCAAGCUAGGGGGCAAUGGAAUUCCCGGUGUAGUGGUGGAAUGCGUAGAUAUCGGGGAGGAACACCAGUGGCGAAGGCGGUUGCCUGGAGCUUUGCUGACGCUGAUGCGCGAAAGCGUGGGGAGCGAUCCGG
rnacentral:rRNA from 1 species